rnacentral:rRNA from 1 species
GGUGAAGCUCAUUUUGUAGCAAUACACAGUCUGUAAGGUGCUGCAUGGCUGUCGUCAGCUCGUGCCGUGAGGUGUUGGGUUAAGUCCCGCAACGAGCGCAACCCCCAUCAUUAGUUGCCAUCAGGUAAAGCUGGGAACUCUAAUGAAACUGCCGUCGUAAGACGCGAGGAAGGAGGGGAUGAUGUCAAGUCAUCAUGGCCUUUAUGCCCAGGGCUACACACGUGCUACAAUGGAAGAGACAAAGAGCUGCCACUUGGCGACAAGGCGCUAAUCUCAAAAACUCUUUCUCAGUUCAGAUCGCAGUCUGCAACUCGACUGCGUGAAGCUGGAAUCGCUAGUAAUCGUAUAUCAGCAAUGAUACGGUGAAUACGUUCCCGGACCUUGCACACACCGCCCGUCAAGCCAUGGAAGCUGGGUGUACCUAAAGUCGGUAACCGCAAGGAGCCGCCUAGGGUAAAACUAGUGACUGGGGCUAAGUCGUAACAAGGUAACCGU